UCACGAUGAAAGAAUUUUAGGAUUCUGAGGUGGAAGAACUUUUGUCCGAUGACGCACUGGAAGAACUAAGAGACAGGCUCUUCUUGGCCCGCUGCCAGUUGUCCUCAUUUGCUUGAAGUUCUGGCAGGCGUUUUCCCGAAAAUACAGGAGCUGGUUUAGUGGCGAUUCGCCGCGUGGCAUCAUGGUCCUCUGGCCUCUUGACAUCUCUCUGGAUGUGUUCAGUGCCUCUUAUCAGUGAAGGGACCUUCAGCUUAAACUCGCUUAGGACUUUUUCCGCCUCCGCUCCACGUGCGCCCGUCGUCUGUACAAACCUAAUAUAGUCCUCUUUUUUAUUGUGGCACGGACCACUGCCAGGCGUGUUUCGGUGGAAGACCUUACAACACCGAACACAUUUCCAAGAGACCCCGGAAUGCUGCUCAACCACAUGGUUGUAACAUUUCAUACGUGUUGGGAAUGUGAUAUCCCCACAAACGAGGCAGUCUAUUUUCAGAACCUGAAGGAUGACCAAAAACAAGAUCAAUGGGCAAUCUCAUGUCGUCACCGAAGUCAUUUUAUAUGGGGUGUGACCAGUAGCAGAGUGAACAGAUGACCUGUAUGCCAUCAAGCAGAAAGAGCGAUUCAAUGAUGCGUGACGGAAACGAUCCAACCAAGCAUGACCGGACACAAUAGCAGAAGAUUUUGAUUUUCAUUGUCAUAAUAAAUAAACAACAAAAUGCUU